CUUAGGAACUCCCCCAACAAUAACUAAUGGAACCUCAGGAACUUCCCCCACACCAACGAGUGGAACCUCAGGAACUUCCCCCACACCAACUAGUGGAACCUCAGUGUUGGCACAUAUCAGAGCUCAGGUUGAACAUGUCAACGGUCUCAUUGUGACAGAAUUAAUUCGAAAAUACAUUGAAGAAGAAGCUCGAAGCCGAUGUGGAAACUGCUUAGUUAACCUCAGAGUAACGGAACUCCCAGGACCCUGACAGGUUUUAACCUCAAGCGCAAUGGAGAACUGUUCCGGCUGGUCACGAAUGGGGUGUGCUUGUCAUGUACACGGGGCUGAAAAUGUACAGUCUGUUCAUUUAAUUCAAUUACAGUAAAAGUGUAUAGUACCGGUAAUUCUCACUUUGAAAUAAUAAACUCCUCUGUCAAACUGUGUCCGAGUUGCAUACUAAUUAAAGUUGAAGUCUUUCCACCUUUCUCGAACUUUGUCCGACAUUAAUCUAUGCCUGAAUACUGAGUCUUUCUAAAGCAACAGGUUAUUCAUGUAACUGUCACACAAGGUGUGUGAGGGUUCUUUUUAAAUAACAACGUGAACCUGAUUCUACCAGCAGAAAAGGGACUCCAAACAGUUGACUUUAAAAACAGACAUUUAUUUUAAAAAGCCAAAAACCCAUUUUAUGAGCAACAUUUUACAAGACAUUAAAAUGUUUAAAGUAAAAAUCACACUCUUGGCCUGAUGCCACGCCUGUCUGGGUGUGUCCGGCCUUCCUGGCAUCGGUUCUAUUGUUUGCGUCCAUCGCAGCUCCCUCUGUGCCGCUCAUCCUUCUCCGUGGCGGCCCCCUCCUCAGUAAAACAUACCACUAAAACCAUGCAAUAUAAAAUAUUUGUAAAAACACUAAAAUGACGAAACACGUGAAACCAGAUCAAAACCAGACAAUUCUAAAACAUUAAAACAUGGCAGCUAAGAUAAGAACAGUGUCCAUUUUGAUAUAACCGGUGUUGUUAAUUUUACUUUAAAAAAGUAAUUAAUUACAGUUACCAAUUACUUCUCCCCAAAAGUAAUUGCAUUAGUAACUCAGUUACCUGAAUGUAAGAGUAAUUAGUUACUUGGGAA